rnacentral:tRNA from 1 species
GCCCAUUUGGCUCAGUGGAUAGAGCAUUGGCCUGUGGACCAAAGGGUCCCUGGUUCGAUUCCAGUCAAAGGCC